GGCAGAGUCUAACCUUGAGGCCAUGAUCAGAGGACUGCUCUGGCGAUGAUGGCUGUCGGUAAGGAUACCAGGUAAUGGCUCUCUGCAGAUUUCAUGGGAGUGCGCUGAUGGCGUGAUUGCUGGCCACUGUGAAGUAAAAACUAUAAUUGAGCCAAAGACCUGGAACUAGAAAAUAUUGGGCUAGGAAAGAAGUGUUCGCUGACUGGCUAAUUCAAUCAGGCUAAGAGAAAAGAAAUCACCUGGUAAUGCAGGGCUUAAAAUAACAGCGUCAGACAAUGUCCAGCCAGAAUUAGAACCUGUCCAAUCAAAUCUUUCCCUUACUGGUCAAUUUGACCAGUAACUAUCACCCAGAAAUGAGGUUUGCUGUGGUUGACAACUGGAUUACAAUAUGCUUAAAGGAUACUUUGACUAGUCAUGAUUUGUAAGCUGUUUUUAUGUGCCUGAGUUAUGAUUUAAAUUUUUAAAGUAAAUUACUUGCAUUAAAGUAAGACUAUGCCCAACAAGGAGGCUACAUCACAAAACAAGUAACAUAACAAGUACUCUGAGAGUGAAACAAACUGGAAAUUGCAAUGGGCAGACUUUUAUGGAGUAAGACAUUCAAACCUGUUUUGUUGGAUACCAUUAGCAUUUGAGUUAGCCAUGAUGCCCUUACGAUAAACCCAAAAGCCGGUUUCUGGGUAUCAAUAAAAUUUGAAGGCUUUGAUUUGGCAAGCAACAGCAUUAACCCAUCAACAAACUGAAGUCAAAAAUAAUGUUAAAAUUGAAUGAGACCUUUUAAUUGAACCACAUUUUUUACCAUCCAAUCGUUGAUGACGCAAAUUCAAAAUUUA